AGAGUUUGAUUCUGGCUCGGGAUGAACGCUAGCUACAGGCUUAACACAUGCAAGUCGAGGGGUAGCAGGGUAGCAAUACCGCUGACGACCGGCGCACGGGUGAGUAACACGUAUCCAACCUUCCCAUAACUCAGGGAUAGCCUUUCGAAAGAAAGAUUAAUACCUGAUAGUACUUUUUCAGGGCAUCUUGAAAAAAGUUAAAGAUUUAUUGGUUAUGGAUGGGGAUGCGUUCCAUUAGAUAGUUGGUGAGGUAACGGCUCACCAAGUCUUCGAUGGAUAGGGGUUCUGAGAGGAAGGUCCCCCACAUUGGUACUGAGACACGGACCAAACUCCUACGGGAGGCAGCAGUGAGGAAUAUUGGUCAAUGGGCGAGAGCCUGAACCAGCCAAGUAGCGUGAAAAGGAUGAAGGUCCUAUGGAUUGUAAACUUCUUUUAUAGUAGAAUAAAGUGAGCCACGUGUGGUUUUUGUAUGUAUACUAUGAAUAAGGAUCGGCUAACUCCGUGCCAGCCGCCGC
rnacentral:rRNA from 1 species